rnacentral:rRNA from 1 species
AGUGAACGCUGGCGGUAGGCCUAACACAUGCAAGUCGAACGGCAGCACACUAAUAGCUUGCUCUUACGGGUGGCGAGUGGCGGACGUGGGAGGAAUACAUCGGAAUCUACUUUUUCGGGGGGCAUAACGUAGGUAAACUUACGCUAAGACCGCAUACGACCUACGGGUGAAGGCAUGGGAUCUUCGGACCUUGCGCGAUUGAAUGAGCCGAUGUCGGAUUAGCUAGUUGGCGGGGUAAAGGCCCACCAAGGCGACGAUCCGUAGCUGGUCUGAGAGGAUGAUCGGCCACACUGGAAGUGAGACACGGUCAAGAGUCCUACGGGAGGGAGCAGUGGGGAAUAUUGGACAAUGGUCGCAAGCCUGAUCCAGCCGUACCGAGUGGGUGAAGAAGGCGUUCGGGGUGUAAAGCCCUUUUGUUGGGAAAGAAAAGCAGCAGGUUAAUACCCCGCGGUUCUGACGGUACCCAAAGAAUAAGCACCGGCUAACUUCGUG